AUUUUUCUUCUUACCUCACCCGUCACACUGCGACCAAGCAGCACCCCCUUCUCCAAAUGUUCCAUGUCCCUUGCCUCUAGGCCUUUGCACCUGCUCAGAAAACAGUUCCCCUCACCUCCCUCACCUGUGUCUCCAUACUUGCUCUUCAGACCUCAGCUGAGGGUUAGUUUCUUCCGGAUGCACUGAUAUUGAAAUCAAGCUGACGUGCCCCACCCGUGUGCCCUGUCGCACCUCUGUGUCCUCUAUUGUAGAUCAUACCACCCUCUUUUAUUUUGCGUGCUUCUGUGUCUGUAACUCUUAACCUGGGACUGUAGGAGACCACAUCUGCCUUCUUGUGGGUUUUGCUCCCAGUGCCCGGCAUAGUUCCUCGGUACGUAUUCGCUUCUUGAAUGAAUGAAUGGAUUUGAUGAUGCAUCUCUGUUUCCAAGGUGUGAUCAGCCGCGAGUAGGGUUUUGAAAUGAAGCUGUGUCUCAUUAGGGGAAACUCCUAAAACGCAAACAUUCGGGGGAAGAGAGGUGGACAUCAGUCCGUGAAGAAAACAGAUCAGUGGGCCUUGUGGUUUGUUUUUAUAUGUAACUUUUUUUAUUGGGGUAUAAUUUCAUAUAUAACUCACUCAUUCGAAGUGUACAAUCCAGUGACUUCUGGCAAGCUUAGAGAAUUGUGCAACCGUGACCAUAAUCCAGUUUGGGGACAUGCUUGUCACCCCCGUAAAGGUCCUCACAUGCGUUUACAGGCGCUGCCUGGUCCCACUGCCAGGCGCCCGCACCCUUCAGUCUGUUUCGUGUCUCUGCGGAUUCGCCUCUUCUGGCCACUUAAUGUCAGUAGGGUCAUACAAAGUGUGGUCUUCUGUGUCCGACUUCUUUUACUUCGCAAAUGUUUUAGAGAGCCAUCCAUGUUGUAGCAAGUAUCAGCGCCCCAUUCUUUCUAUAUUUGAUGGUACUACGUUCUGUGGACAUACUGCUUUUUAUUGAUCUGUUUCUCAGUUGGUAGACGUUUGGGUUGUUCCCACGUUUUGGCUCUUACAGAUACUGCUCUCGUGUCUCCUGGGAAGAUAUGAGGCGUGGGAUUGCUGGAUCAAAAAAUUUGUUUAAAUGUUAAUUGUGGUAGAACUCACAGGACAUUAAAUUUACCCUCUUAAUUAUUUUGAAGUCUAUAGUUCAGUAUGUUAAAUGAAUUCACAUUUGUUGUGCAACCAGUAUCUUUUUCAUCUUAAAAAACGAAAACUCUAGGGGCGCCUGGGUGGCUCAGUGGAUGGAGCAUCCAACUCUUGAUUUUGCCUCAGGUCCUGAUCUCACAGCUGUGGUAUCGAGCCCCGCAUCCAGGCCCUGCAUGGGGCAUGGAGCCUGCUUGGGAUUCUCUCCUUCCCUUUCCCUCUGCCCCUCCUCUGCUUGUGCUCACUCAUUCUCUCUCUCUCUC